rnacentral:rRNA from 1 species
UACGUAGGGUGCGAGCGUUGUCCGGAAUUAUUGGGCGUAAAGGGCUCGUAGGCGGUUUGUCGCGUCGGGAGUGAAAUCCACUGGCUUAACUGGUGGCUUGCUUUCGAUACGGGCAGGCUGGAGUUCGGUAGGGGAGACUGGAAUUCCUGGUGUAGCGGUGAAAUGCGCAGAUAUCAGGAGGAACACCGGUGGCGAAGGCGGGUCUCUGGGCCGAUACUGACGCUGAGGAGCGAAAGCGUGGGGAGCGAACAGG